rnacentral:rRNA from 1 species
GACGAACGCUGGCGGCGUGCCUAAUACAUGCAAGUCGAACGAGAGCGACCGGUGCUUGCACUGGUCAAUCUAGUGGCGCACGGGUGAGUAACACGUGGGUAACCUGCCCAUCAGAGGGGGAUAACAUCCGGAAACGGGUGCUAAAACCGCAUAGGUCUUCGAUCCGCGUGGCUUGAAGAGGAAAAUCGGCGCAAGCGUCUGCUGACGGGGGUACCCGCGGUGCGUUUGGUGGUUGGUGAGGUAACGGCUUACCAAGGCGGUGAUGCAUAGCCGACGUGAGAGGGUGAUCGGCCACAUUGGGACUGAGCCACGGCCCAAGCUCCUACGGGAGGCAGCAGUAGGGAAUCUUCCGCAAUGGACGCAAGUCUGACGGAGCAACGCCGAGUGAGUGAAGAAGGUGUUCGGAUCGUAAAACUCUGUUGUUAGAGAAGAACAAGUGCUAGAGUAACUGUUAGCGGAUUGACGGUAUCUAACCAGAAAGCCACGGCUAACUACGUG